CCACCAUAGCCUUAGUCAGCUUCCAACACUCGUUCCAACAAGGCACAUGUUAAGGCAAAAAUGCUCCUCUCAAAGUGAGGAUCGAGAUUCCCAAUAGGACAGAGUCCCCUUAAUCUCACCAUAAGACAUAGGAAAGUUCCCAAUGAAAACCUCAAACCCUAAAGCAGAUGGGGCCUCUCCAUUCAAACCCACUCUUGAAUUUUCUCAUCAGUCCACUCCCGACCUGAGGACUGUAACUUCCUUUAACAAAUUCCUCCAUCCUUACUACUGCUGUGUGUUCUGCUCAAUUCCUUGUUCAGGACACAAAGAGCUGCAUUUACGGGGAAACCCAGCAUUUGAAGAGAAACUGCCUCACUAGAGCUGCCCAGGUGUCCACAGCUGUCCUGUUCCUCAUGCAGCUCUUCUUUCUUCACCUCAAGGUGCACCUGUGCUGCCAUUGGGAGCAGGAUCUGCUUCUUCAUUAAGUCCUAUGAGCACUCUGAAAUGUGUUCCAGUGUACCAUAUGUGCAGAAGACCUGAUGACCUUUCUCCACAAAGACCAGUACUUCUCCAUCCUGUAAAUCCUCUCCUCUUCUCACUCUAAGUUAGAAAAGAAAAAAGGGAGAAACAUGUGGAGACACUGGCUGGAAGAGUGAUUGGAAUAAAUUUAAAGACAAAAGAACCC
rnacentral:lncRNA from 1 species